GUGUACCUCAGAAAACCCUGACGGACACUCUGAGCAGCCAGAUAACCCAUGGUUGUCGCAGCGGACCACCCACAUUGCCUGCACCAGAGGAUGAAAAUUCUCUGGUGCAGUACUAUAUCUACUGCGCUAGGCAUGGGGUUUCCUUUCACCAGACAACAGCUAAUGACACAUCCAACAAAAUAAGCAGGUUUUGGCACCGAGGAGAAACAAUCCCACCACUGGGGAAGAGGUGGUAGGAAAUGUUCAGAAGGAAGCACAAGAAACUGAGCAUGAGGAGGCCAGACACCCUGGACAGCGGGAGAGCUGAGUGUGCCACCCGUCCGAUGAUGGACACCUUCUUCUUGGAGGAGAGUGGGUUGAAGGAGAAACCCAGACAAAUCUUUAACUGCGAUGAGUCUUGAGUUUUAUAGCGACCAGAGCAGGCAAUGUCCUGGCUCUCUGGGGUGCAAAACACGUGUACCAGCAGGCUCCGGGAACCAAGGAGCACAUUAGUGCUGGCCUGCAUCCACGCAGCUGAGGAGGAUGUCCCCCUGUCUCCUUCUCCCCAUCGAUGAGCACAAGAGCCGCAUGGACCCUGAGGUGCUCGCUGCGGCUCAAAGGGAAGGGGUUAUACUACGUUGUCUUCCACCACACUGCACCCAUGUCCAGCAGCCGCUGGAUGUGGCAUAUUGUGGCGCUGUAAGGCUGAGUUCUCCAAGGUAGUUGAAGACCUCAGCCAUUUUGACCACUCCUAUAUGGUAAACAAAUCAGAAUUUGCUAGAGUAUUCUUCUACCUGUACCAGCGCUACUAAGACAUGCUGUAUGUGGUGGAAGGGUCCUUACCUUGCUGAAGUGUCAGCCAGACUGAUACAGAAGACUCCCUGUGGUCGCCACAUACCCCACCAGGGAGGAAUACAUGCCCCAGUGGCAGGAGAGGGGUGAGAGGGCCCCCCCACUGGAACCAUACCUGACAGCUGCAUCACCACCGCCCAUGCCUCCCAGUGUGCAACACCUGUAGGAGCAGGCCAUGUGUAUGCUCUCUCCCAGCCACACGAUUGUCGGUUGCUUAAUCCCACCAACACCAGCUUUUCCAAGCCAUCGGCGUCGGGUUUUGUCCACCACCACAAUGCAAACCAGCCCCCCCCUGUCUGUCAACCCCGAAACGGCCUCCUCUGGACCAACUGCCUCCUCCAUCUCUCCUGGUCACUGAACCACAGCAGCCUCAUCUGGUAUUCCUGACCACGGCCAUUUGAAUACAGACACCUCUACAGCACAGAAAAGGAAGAGAAAAGCUCUACCGGCCACCUGUCACGCCACCCAUUGCACCACCCUCAGGUACUUCACAAUCUGUUUGUUUCUCUCUCUCUGUUGUAUAAAUGACUAUUGUUGCUGUAUUGCAAACCAUGUUAAUCAAUGGAGCUUGAUUUUUUAUUGUGAUUUCUGUGAUAAUA